GGACUACUAGGGUUUCUAAUCCUGUUUGCUACCCACGCUUUCGUGUCUCAGCGUCAGUUACGGUCCAGAAAGCCGUCUACACCACCGGUGUUCCUCCUGAUAUCUACGCAUUUCACCGCUACACCAGGAAUUCCACUUUCCUCUCCCGCACUCGAGUCACUCAGUAUUCGGCGCACCCUCCCAGUUGAGCCAGGAGAUUUCACACCAAACUUAAGCGACCGCCUACACACCCUUUACGCCCAGUAACUCCGAACAACGCUUGCUGCCUACGUAUUACCGCGGCGGCUGGCAC
rnacentral:rRNA from 1 species